AUUGAACGCUGGCGGCAGGCCUAACACAUGCAAGUCGAGCGGAUGAAGGGAGCUUGCUCCUGGAUUCAGCGGCGGACGGGUGAGUAAUGCCUAGGAAUCUGCCUGGCAGUGGGGGAUAACGUCCGGAAACGGGCGCUAAUACCGCAUACGUCCUGAGGGAGAAAGUGGGGGAUCUUCGGACCUCACGCUAUCAGAUGAGCCUAGGUCGGAUUAGCUAGUUGGUUGGGUAAAGGCCUACCAAGGCGACGAUCCGUAACUGGACUGAGAGGAUGAUCGGUCACACUGGAACUGAGACACGGUCCAGACUCCUACGGGAGGCAGCAGUGGGGAAUAUUGGACAAUGGGCGAAAGCCUGAUCCAGCCAUGCCGCGUGUGUGAAGAAGGUCUUCGGAUUGUAAAGCACUUUAAGUUGGGAGGAAGGGCAGUAAGUUAAUACCUUGCUGUUUUGACGUUACCAACAGAAUAAGCACCGGCUAACUUCGUG
rnacentral:rRNA from 1 species